CUAACAAGGAUUUAUCUUGCAGUAGCAGCAGCGAAGAAGAAGAUAAUGAGGGAGAUGAUGAUGAGGCUCUUCUCGUGUGAAAGUUAAGAAAAUUCAUCAACCGGAAGAAGUCCUUUCAUCAGAGGAGAGUUCCCUCAAGUUCCUACAACAAGGAUAAAGGUAAGAAAAGGGAAAAUGAAGGAAUCGGAUGCUAUGAAUGCAAGAAGCCCGGACAUUUCAGAGUUGACUGUCCCUUACUUAAGAAGGGCAGCAAAUAUAAGAAAAAAAAGUCUUCGUCUCCACUUUGUCGGACUCCGAUUCAUCAUCAUCAUCAUCGGAUGAGGAACAAGAGGAAAAGGCCAACUUCUGCUUCAUG
rnacentral:lncRNA from 1 species